rnacentral:rRNA from 1 species
AUUGCCCUAGUAACGGCGAGUGAAGCGGCAACAGCUCAAAUUUGAAAUCUGGCCUCGGCCCGAGUUGUAAUUUGCAGAGGAUGCUUCUGGCGCGGUGCCUUCCGAGUUCCCUGGAACGGGACGCCACAGAGGGUGAGAGCCCCGUAUGGUCGGACACCAAGCCUGUGUGAAGCUCCUUCGACGAGUCGAGUAGUUUGGGAAUGCUGCUCUAAAUGGGAGGUAAAUCUCUUCUAAAGCUAAAUACCGGCCAGAGACCGAUAGCGCACAAGUAGAGUGAUCGAAAGAUGAAAAGCACCUUGAAAAGGGGGUUAAAUAGUACGUGAAAUUGUUGAAAGGGAAGCACUUAUGACCAGACUUGGGCCGGGCGGCUCAUCAGGGGUUCUCCCCUGUGCACUCCGCCCGGCACAGGCCAGCAUCGGUUCUCGUGGGGGGAUAAGACCGUCAGGAACGUAGCACCCUCCGGGGUGUGUUAUAGCCUGGCGGACGAUACCCCCGUGGGGACCGAGGUCCGCGCAUUGCAAGGAUGCUGGCGUAAUGGUCAUCAGUGACCCGUCUUGAAACACGGACCAAGGAGUCGUCCAUUAGAGCGAGCGUUUGGGUGUAAAACCCGCACGCGUAAUGAAAGUGAACGCAGGUGAGAGCUUCGGCGCAUCAUCGACCGAUCCUGAUGUUCUCGGAAGGAUUUGAGUAAGAGUUUUAACGGACGGACCCGAAAGACAGUGAACUAUGCUUGUAUAGGGUGAAGCCAGAGGAAACUCUGGUGGAGGCUCGCAGCGGUUCUGACGUGCAAAUCGAUCGUCAAAUAUGAGCAUGGGGG